GAUGAACGCUAGCGACAGGCCUAACACAUGCAAGUCGAGGGGCAGCACGAGGUAGCAAUACUGGGGUGGCGACCGGCGCACGGGUGAGUAUCGCGUAUGCAACCUACCUUCCACAGGGGGAUAGCCUUCCGAAAGGGAGAUUAAUACCGCAUGAAACAGGGGCCCCGCAUGGGGAUAUUUGUUAAAGAUUUAUCGGUGGAAGAUGGGCAUGCGUUCCAUUAGCUAGUUGGGGGGGUAACGGCCCACCAAGGCAACGAUGGAUAGGGGAACUGAGAGGUUUAUCCCCCACACUGGGACUGAGACACGGCCCAGACUCCUACGGGAGGCAGCAGUGAGGAAUAUUGGUCAAUGGGCGGGAGCCUGAACCAGCCAAGUCGCGUGGAGGACGACGGUUCUAUGGAUUGUAAACUCCUUUUGCACUGGGGUAAAACGGGGGACGUGUCCCCUCUUGCAAGUACAGUGCGAAUAAGCAUCGGCUAACUCCGUGCCAGCAGCCGCGG
rnacentral:rRNA from 1 species